rnacentral:rRNA from 1 species
UACAGAGGGGGCAAGCGUUGUUCGGAAUUACUGGGCGUAAAGGGCGCGUAGGCGGCCUUCUAAGUCGAACGUGAAAUCCCCGGGCUCAACCCGGGAACUGCGUCCGAUACUGGAAGGCUUGAAUCCGGGAGAGGGAUGUGGAAUUCCGCGUGUAGCAGUGAAAUGCGUAGAGAUGCGGAGGAACACCGAUGGCGAAGGCAGCCCCCUGGGCCAACACUGACGCUCAGGCACGAAAGCGUGGGGAGCAAACAGG